rnacentral:lncRNA from 1 species
AGGGGGUGGACCUAAGAAUAAGUCUUUGUAAAGAGUCAUUCUUGAGUCAUUCUUGGGUUCACCCCCUAGGGUGAACCUCUAGGUUCACCAACCAAUAGGAUUUCAUUAUUUCAAAUUUGAUAUCUUUUAAAAAAGGAAACAAAAUAUUCUCAAAUUAUAUUAUGUUUUCAAAAUAAAAAAAGUAAAAAAAGAUAAUAGUUACAGAAAAAAAAAUUAAAAAAAAAUAUAUUUUUAAUGUUCUCAACAAAACACUAAACCCUAAAUCUUAAUCCCUAAACCCUAAAUCCUAAACCCUAAACCCUUGGGUAAACCCUAAACCCUUGGGUAAACCCUAAACCCUUGGAUAAAUCCUAAACUCUAAAUAAAAAACACUAAAACUCUAAAAUCCUAAAACCCUAAACCCUAUACGCUUGAAUGUUUUAGUGUAUAGUGAUUUUGAUUUAGAGUUUAGGAUUUAUCCUAGAGUUUAGGAUUUAUCCUAGAGUUUAGGGUUUAGGAUUAAGAGUUUAGGGAUUAGAAUUUAGGGUUUAGGGUUUAAUGUUAUGCUGACGACGUAAAAUAUUUUUUUUGUAAUUAUUACUAUUUUUUUAUCUUUUAAUUUUAAAAACAUAAUAUAAUUUGACAAUAUUUUGUUUCCUUUUUUAAAAGAUAUUGAAUAUAAAAUAAAACAAUCCUAUUGGUUGGUGAACCUAGAGGUUCACCCUAGGGGGUGGACCUAAGAAUAAGUCUUUGUAAAGAGUCAUUCUUGGGUUCACCAACCAAUAAGAUUUCAUUAUUUCAAAUUUGAUAUCUUUUAAAAAAGGAAACAAAAUAUUCUCAAAUUAUAUUAUGUUUUCAAAAUAAAAAAUGUAAAAAAAGAUAAUAGUUACAGAAAAAAAAAUUAAAAAAAAAUAUAUUUUUAAUGUUCUCAACAAAACACUAAACCCUAAAUCUUAAUCCCUAAACCCUAAAUCCUAAACCCUAAACCCUUGGGUAAACCCUAAACCCUUAGGUAAACCCUAAACCCUUGGAUAAAUCCUAAACUCUAAAUAAAAAACACUAAAACUCUAAAAUCCUAAAACCCUAAACCCUAAACGCUUGAAUGUUUUAGUGUAUAGUGAUUUUGAUUUAGAGUUUAGGAUUUAUCCUAGAGUUUAGGAUUUAUCCUAGAGUUUAGGGUUUAGGAUUAAGAGUUUAGGGAUUAGAAUUUAGGGUUUAGGGUUUAAUGUUAUGCUGACGACGUAAAAUAUUUUUUUUGUAAUUAUUACUAUUUUUUUAUCUUUUAAUUUUAAAAACAUAAUAUAAUUUGACAAUAUUUUGUUUCAUUUUUUAAAAGAUAUUGAAUAUAAAAUAAAACAAUCCUAUUGGUUGGUGAACCUAGAGGUUCACCCUAGGGGGUGGACCUAAGAAUAAGUCUUUGUAAAGAGUCAUUCUUGAGUCAUUCUUGGGUUCACCCCCUAGGGUGAACCUCUAGGUUCACCAACCAAUAGGAUUUCAUUAUUUCAAAUUUGAUAUCUUUUAAAAAAGGAAACAAAAUAUUCUCAAAUUAUAUUAUGUUUUCAAAAUAAAAAAAGUAAAAAAAGAUAAUAGUUACAGAAAAAAAAAUUAAAAAAAAAUAUAUUUUUAAUGUUCUCAACAAAACACUAAACCCUAAAUCUUAAUCCCUAAACCCUAAAUCCUAAACCCUAAACCCUUGGGUAAACCCUAAACCCUUGGGUAAACCCUAAACCCUUGGAUAAAUCCUAAACUCUAAAUAAAAAACACUAAAACUCUAAAAUCCUAAAACCCUAAACCCUAUA